rnacentral:pre_miRNA from 10 species
CCCAAACUCAUGCCAGGGGUUCUGCGGUCGGCCCCCCUCCGAAGUUCCCCAAACAGGUGGCGGGCACAGAGUGCAGACUCUGUGUGUGGC